AGGAACCAGACUGUGAACAAGUUUACCAUUUAGUCCUUUGGACUGUGUCUUGAAUUCAUCCCUCUUCUCCAUUCUCACCAGCACCAUCAUCAUGAUGGCUAAUAUUUCCUGAGCACCUUUCAUUCAGGCAUGAUGCCAGGUGCACCAACUUACUUAAUCCUCAUAGCCACCACCUGAGCAAGCUCCUGUUUUAUAAAUGGACCAGUUCUUGUUGCUGUUGUACAAGUUAUUUUCUUUCUAUAACGUCCUCCUUGUCCUCCUUCCACAUUCUUAAAGAAACUUUCCCUUCCUUUAAAGUACUCAGGGAGCCCUGCAUUGCUUCUUGAAGCCUUCUCCAGCUUCAUCAUCUCACAGUGGUCUCUCUUUUCACUAAAUGUCCAAUAUGCUGCACAUAAGUACCCCAAAGUUAGCACAGAAUUGUUCCAUGGCUGUCAUAUAUGUUAAAAAUCAUUAAAAGUUCAUUUUUUCUCCCAUUAUGGGAAGGAUACAUGCUCCUACUAGUAAAUUUAGUUGGUAGAAAAAAAUUAUCACUAUCUAGACUGCUUUCCCUUUAGUCUUUAUGCAUAGCUUUCUGUCUGCCUAUUUUUACUUUGUGUUUGUAACUUACUAUUAUAAAAUAUGCAUCUCUAUGUUCAUUGUCAACAUUAUUUACAAUAACAUGGAGUGGAUUUACAUGUAUUCUCUAUAUUUGGAUUAAAGGAGAUAGAGUAUGUGAAAUUAAAUGGGAGAAGUAUCUGAUACAUAACAGGCAAUACAAAUAUUAUCACAUAGCGUCAAUUUAUUUGUGAAUAUUGAAAGCUCCAAAAAAGAAAAAAAGUUUUUUUUUAAUUCCCGUAAUUACUUAUUGCAGUAUUGUGUUCAUACAAACUGCUCAGUCAUUUUGGAGAAAUAACAAUUUUUUUCCUCAUCAUGAAGUAAGGUAUGCUCACUGCAAAAAAAAUCUAGAAAAUAAAGAGGAACAUGCUAAAGAAAAGAAUACUCCCAUAUAAUCUCUGUCUUCAUAAAUAAUCUUUUGUAACGCUUAUACACUGCUGGUGGGAAUGUAAAUUAGUUCAGCCAUUGUGAAAAGUAGCGUAGCAAUUCCUUGAAAAACUUAAAAUAGAAUUACCGUUCAACCCAGCAAUCCCAUUAUUGGGCAUAUACCCAGUGGAAUGUAAAUCAUCCUGCCAUAAAAACACAUGCACAUGUAUGUUCAUUGCAGCACUAUUCACAAUAGCAAAGACAUGGAAUCAACCUAUAUGCCCAUCAAUAGUAGACUGAAUAAAGAAAAUAUGGUACAUAUUCACCACAGAAUACUAAGCAGCCAUAAAAAAGAAAAAGAUCAUGUCCUUUGCAGCAAUAUGGAUGGAGCUAGAGGCCAUUAUCCUAAGCAAACUAAUGCAGAAACAGAAAACCAGAUACUGCAUGCUCUCACUUAUAAGUGGGAGAUACACCAUGAGAACACAUGAACACAAAAAGCGGAAAAAGAGACACCAUGGCCUACUUGAGGGUGGAGGCUGGGAGGAGGGAGAGAAUCAAAAAACUUCCUAUGGAGUACUAUGCUUAUUACCUGCGUGAUGAAAUAAUCACUUUGAACAUUGUCAGUACAUUAUCUUCUAAUCUAGACUCUUUUCUAUGUUCUAUAUGCACACAGAAAUACACAUGCAAAGCUGAACACAUAUGUGAAACAAAAUUCAGACACUCAAAUUUUCCGCCAAUACAUGAUAAAAUCUUGCACAAUAGCUUCCUCCACAGAGGAAAAUGUCUUUACUACAUCUUAAAAAUGGGGUAAAUGAAUAGUUAGGCUCUUCAGUGUAAUAAUCAUGGUAAAUAUUCUCAAUGUGCGAAAAUACAAACAAAAGACUUUCUCUCCCAGCAAAUUUAGACCCACAUGAAAAUUUAAGCACAAUCAUUUUAAACGAAUUUACCCUGGAGCUUAGUGGUUCGAGCUCAAGGUUGAGGAGCAGUCUGGGGACAUCAGCUCUUAAUAUUUUUCAAGUUUUGGAGCAAGUGGUUUCUAGGUUCUGAGUGAAGUGAAACAGAAUCUCUAGGGGCAUGUGGUAAAGAUAAUCCCAUACUAUGUACUGCGUAGAGUUAAAGAGAAGAGGCGAGAGCAUGAAGAUAAACCAGUACAAUCAGUCGUUCACAUACCACUAACUACAAUGAUACUCCCGUUUGCUUCCUGUGAAGUAGUUACUAAUAAUCACUGAUGUCGCUUUUUAAUUUCAUACAUCCUUUAACUAUCUUCAUAUAGGUAUUGAAAGAGUCAACAUAAAAGCCACAUCCAUUUUCUAAUUUUGAACAAUAGUUAGAGAAACCUAAUAUCUUCUCAUAUUUUUGUCUUGCUUCUGUCUCAUGAGUUCCCAAAAUAGAUAUAUUAUCUGAAUGAAGAGUUCAUGGGCAAAUGUCACACUUUUCUUGGUUUGGCUAAUUAUAUUUCUGCUUUUGCUUAGAAUAAGAUUAAUUUUCCUAUUCUGCUAAUAAACCACGUGAUGGCAAAAUGCCUUAUUCUGAGAAAAGAAGCCUUUGGUAUUUUAAAGAAUUGGGAAGCUAUUUCAGAUAAGCUAUCAUAUGCAUGAAGAUUAAUUUAUUCAUAUGAAAUGUUCAAUAACCAGAAAAGACUGUUUUAAAUAAAACCAUUUCACAAUU
rnacentral:lncRNA from 1 species